ensembl:lncRNA
CGCCUCCUCGCGGCGGCGGAGGUCACAACGCCACAGGUCACAACGCCACGCGUAUUGGGGGAAGCAGAAUGAACGGACACUUUUGGAAUAUUUCCAGACAGCAGGAAGAUAAGCGGGCGACCGGGUUCAGCUGAACGGAGGAUGCGUGAGACCAUCGAGCAGCCGCGCCCUCACCCCAUCUGGGAUCACACAGCCGCAGCACAUGCCUUCUGAUUGAUUUAUUCAAGAUUAAUUGUUGCUUUGUCGGCUCAUUGCUUCCAACCGGUUCGCGUCAGAUGUCUGUGCUUUGCACUACAUUUGAACGCGGUGCAAACAAAGGGUCCUCCGCUCGUCUCGUCGCCACGAUGCAGCUACAGGUCGGCGCCAUGAAUUAGGCCACCAAUAAAGACAGACGAGUCUGGCCUCCAAGGCGAUUACAGAUCCAAAAUGAAUCUUUAAGCUUCAGCUAUUUAUGACUCUUGUUUCUUGAAAAUGAUACAAGCUCUCGCUAAUUGGAUUUGAUGGAGUCACAGAAGGGGACACGACUCCUUAAUUCAGUUCAUCUUCUGAAGGGUUCGGGGGAAUGUUGCAGUUGAACGUCUGUCCUGCUGCUCAAACUGUCUCUCUCGCACACACACACACACGUUCCCACCCACUGAACACCUGCCAACUACAC